rnacentral:lncRNA from 1 species
UCACUAAUUACUACGCCUUUUUCUUUUUUAAUCAAAUAUUUUUUUUAUAAAAAAAUUUAAGAUCAGUCUAAUUAUAGACCCAAAUAUGUGAGCUACAGAAUAGUCCAAAACAACUUAUCGGUCAUACUGUCCUACCGUAUAUUCAAUCAGCAAGCAACAUGCCACUUUGUCAGUUAUCAAAUUAAAUUUGUAGACUUACACUCAAGUUUUAUUUACUGUAUAUAAAAUCUGACUCAUUCACUAUAUUUUUCAGCACUCCGCUUGAUUAGCGAAAACAGCUAUUACUUACAUGAGAAUCACAUAUUCCAAAUUUUA